rnacentral:rRNA from 1 species
UACAUUAAUUCCCCAAAACCCUUACCCCGUACUGAGUGACUUCAUAAUAUUAUGAAAAACCAUAUGCUAGAACUAGUAACAAGAAGAAGACCUUCUCCAAAAUGUACAUAUAGGCCAAAAUGAACAACUCAUUGGCAUUUACCGCUUAUGAACUAACAGUAGUAACUCAACAAGAAAACUCUACUAUCCAUAACGUUAACCUUACACUAGCACAUUCCCGGAAAGAUUAAAAGGAAGGGAAGGAACUCGGCAAAUAAUAACCUCGCCUGUUUACCAAAAACAUCGCCUCCUGAAUAAUCAUAGGAGGUCCAGCCUGCCCAGUGACAAAGUUAAACGGCCGCGGUACCCUAACCGUGCAAAGGUAGCGCAAUCACUUGUUCUUUAAAUGAGGACUAGUAUGAAUGGCAUCACGAGGGUUAUACUGUCUCCCCCACCUAAUCAGUGAAACUGAUCUUCCCGUGAAGAAGCGGGAAUAGAAUUAUAAGACGAGAAGACCCCAUGGAGCUUUAAACUCAACAUCAACUGCCCUCUAAAUAACUUAUUAACCACGCAGAUCUGACAGUUAGUUUUCGGUUGGGGUGACCGCGGAGUAAAACAAAACCUCCACGAUGAAAGGAAUUAACCUCCUAAUCUAAGAGCUACAGCUCUAAGAAUCAACAAAUUGACAAAACUUGAUCCAAAUACUUUGAUCAACGAACCAAGUUACCCUGGGGAUAACAGCGCAAUCCAUUUCAAGAGCUCAUAUCGACAAAUGGGUUUACGACCUCGAUGUUGGAUCAGGGUAUCCCAGUGGCGCAGCCGCUACUAAUGGUUC